rnacentral:sRNA from 1 species
UAGCAGACCUGAAGAUCGGUGUCCUCUGUUUAUCCCCAGAGCAGGUCUAGCACAGGCAACAGCAGGGCAAGUUUCCCCAUAAACACUACCUCUUGCCAACAUGCCUCAACCCAUUGCUUGAGGGAUCUUCACUAAGAACUAGAGGAGAGUUCAGUCUCCAUGGCCCAAUCAGCUGUCUGUCUCUGCU